rnacentral:rRNA from 1 species
CUACGGGAUGCUGCAGUGAGGAAUAUUGCACAAUGGGGGGAACCCUGAUGCAGCAACGCCGCGUGGAGGAUGACGCAUUUCGGUGUGUAAACUCCUUUUAUAUGUCAAGAAAAUGACGGUAGCAUAUGAAUAAGCACCGGCUGAACUCCGUGCCAGCAGCCGCGGUAAUACGGAGGGUGCAAGCGUUACUCGGAAUCACUGGGCGUAAAGGACGCGUAGGCGGGUUGGAAAGUCAGGUGUGAAAUCCUACAGCUUAACUGUAGAACUGCACUUGAAACUUCUAAUCUAGAGUAUGGGAGGGGGAGAUGGAAUUAGUGGUGUAGGGGUAAAAUCCGUAGAUAUCACUAGGAAUACCUAAAGCGAAGGCGAUCUCCUGGAACAUUACUGACGCUAAGGCGUGAAAGCGUGGGGAGCAAACAGGAUUAGAUACCCGUGUAGUC